rnacentral:rRNA from 1 species
UACGUAGGGUGCAAGCGUUGUCCGGAAUUAUUGGGCGUAAAGAGCUCGUAGGCGGUUUGUUGCGUCGGCUGUGAAAUCCCGAGGCUCAACCUCGGGUCUGCAGUCGAUACGAGCAAACUAGAGUGUUGCAGGGGAGACUGGAAUUCCUGGUGUAGCGGUGAAAUGCUUAGAUAUCGUCAAGAACACCGAUAGUGUAGACAGCUUACUAGGCUACAACUGACGCUGAGGCACGAAAGUGUGGGGAUCAAACAGG